rnacentral:rRNA from 1 species
GACGAACGCUGGCGGCGUGCUUAACACAUGCAAGUCGAACGGUGACGAGGAGCUUGCUCCUCUGAUCAAGUGGCGAACGGGUGAGUAACACGUGAGCAACCUGCCCCAGACGUCUGGGAUAACAGUUGGAAACAGCUGCUAAUACCGGAUACGAGACGGAGAGGCAUCUCUACCGUCUGGAAAGUUUUUCGGUCUGGGAUGGACUCGCGGCCUAUCAGCUAGUUGGUGAGGUAAUGGCUCACCAAGGCGACGACGGGUAGCCGGCCUGAGAGGGCGACCGGCCACACUGGGACUGAGACACGGCCCAGACUCCUACGGGAGGCAGCAGUGGGGAAUAUUGCACAAUGGGCGAAAGCCUGAUGCAGCGACGCCGCGUGAGGGAUGACGGCCUUCGGGUUGUAAACCUCUUUCAGCAGGGAAGAAGCGAAAGUGACGGUACCUGCAGAAGAAGCACCGGCUAACUACGUG